UAUAUUUUGGUGUAGGAUGCACAAAAGUUUUUGAUACUUUUAGAAAUAGUUUAAUUCUAUUAAAUGUAA
rnacentral:tRNA from 1 species